rnacentral:rRNA from 1 species
GACGAACGCUGGCGGCGUGCUUAACACAUGCAAGUCGAACGGCAAGGCCCUGCUUUUGUGGGGUGCUCGAGUGGCGAACGGGUGAGUAACACGUGAGUAACCUGCCCUUGACUUUGGGAUAACUUCAGGAAACUGGGGCUAAUACCGGAUAGGAGCUCCUGCUGCAUGGUGGGGGUUGGAAAGUUUCGGCGGUUGGGGAUGGACUCGCGGCUUAUCAGCUUGUUGGUGGGGUAGUGGCUGACCAAGGAUUUGAAGGGUAGCCGGCCUGAGAGGGUGACCGGCGACAUUGGGACUGAGAGACGGCCCAGACUCGUACGGGAGGCAGCAGUGGGGAAUAUUGCACAAUGGGCGGAAGCCUGAUGCAGCAACGCCGCGUGCGGGAUGACGGCCUUCGGGUUGUAAACCGCUUUCGCCUGUGACGAAGCGUGAGUGACGGUAAUGGGUAAAGAAGCACCGGCUAACUACGUG